rnacentral:rRNA from 1 species
UACGGGGGGGACAAGCGUUGUUCGGAAUUACUGGGCGUAAAGGGCUGGUAGGCGGCCAACUAAGUCGGAUGUGAAAUCCCCAGGCUUAACCUGGGAACUGUAUCCGAUACUGGUCGGCUUGAAUCCGGGAGAGGGAUGCAGAAUUCCAGGUGUAGCGGUGAAAUGCGUAGAUAUCUGGAGGAAUACCGGUGGCGAAGGCGGCUUCCUGGACCGACACUGACGCUGAGGCGCGAAAGCUAGGGGAGCAAACGGG